GCGUCACACAAACUUGAGGCAAAUGCGCGCUCAGACCAAUUACACAGCACUGAAAAUGUUCCCAACAUGGAAAUGAUCCCUAACGGCAAGUGUUUAACAAGUAACAGUUUUACCUUAGGGUCGAAACGAGGAACGCGCCCAGUUAUAAUAGAUUUAUUAUAGGAAAGGCGGGUCGUGUUUGCGUUACGCGUCUGGCGACAAACGGCACCGGGAAUGACAGGAAAGAACUCACUUUAAUGCCAGCCGUGUCCUGAUUGACAAUGAACAGCUGAAUCAGGACCGUGCCCCCAAAAGCUGCAGGGUUCCCCACGGAGACGACCCCUAAGCUGCUAAAGUCAGAGGUCGAUGGUCCCGGAGGGAAGCGUUGGCGACACCCCAGCGGUUGGGCAGACAGAGGCGUUCAGUAGACAAAUGGGGUCUGACUUCAUCAUUAAAGAGGUUUCUGUAAACACCUCAUUUGUAGUCCUUCCGUGAAUCAAAGAGGCCGCAACAAAAGGACGAUGGAGGUACGUUGACUGCAGGCACUCAGAGGUAAAGCCGAUAGCAGCUCAACAAUAGCAGCAGGUGAGUUUUCUCUUUAGUUGUAAAUGGAUCCAAUCAUAGUGAGGACAGAUCUUAUCAGC